rnacentral:rRNA from 1 species
GACAGAGGUGGCAAGCGUUGUUCGGAUUUAUUGGGUGUAAAGGGCAGGUAGGCUGUCAGGCAAGUCUGAUGUGAAAUCCCAUGGCUCAACCGUGGAACUGCAUUGGAAACUGCCCGACUUGAGUAUCGGAGAGGUGAAGGGAAUUCUCGGUGUAAGGGUGAAAUCUGUAGAUAUCGAGAGGAACACCAGUGGCGAAGGCGCUUCACUGGCCGAUUACUGACGCUGAGCUGCGAAAGCAAGGGGAGCAAACAGG